rnacentral:sRNA from 1 species
AGAGCUCUGGAGGGGGCUGCUGCUGCUGCUGCUGCUGCUGCUGCUGCUGUUGCAACAGCUGCUGCAGCUGCUGCUGCUCCUGCUGGGCCCU